UCCGAAUUGGUGUAGUGGCUAACAUUUGACGCUCUCAUCUUGUACCGUCAAGCCCGGGGUUCGAUUCCCCGAUUCGGAG